CCUUGAAGAAAACACUUGAGCUGAAUAUUGCUGAACUGUGGGCAAAGGUGGAUUCUGCUCUGAACUGAUACUUCAAACAUGAUGGAUGGCAUCCUGUAGAAUGGCUCUGUGACUUGUUCCAGUCAGAAACUGAGACAGUCUGAAAGGAAGUUGCCAACUGCCCCUGCAGAAUCAGACCGUUGAACGGCUCAGUCCUAAGGCAUUUGCCGUGAUGAUUGUGUGAGCCAGUACUCUCACUUAGCAGCUACCAUGUUUCUGGGGAGAGAUGUUUCAUUU